CUAUGGUAAAACAUUACAAAAUUAACAACUACUUAUAAAUGAAAAAUUAGUUAAAUAAACAUUUUCCUGUGGACCAAAUUGUGAAUCUUAACCAUCCUUGAAUCCCCUAACUCCGUCUAGGAGGAGUUCAGUGACAUACACACACACACAAGAAAUAUAUAUAUAAAGACUAGUAGACCCGACAGACGUUGUCCUGUACACACGUCGUUAAUUCGAAAAUGUCAAACAUUCUUUAAUAAGCUGUAACAAUCUGGACCGUUUUGACGAAAAUUAUUAUUCAAGAGUUAUUUCAAUAUCUAAUGUCAUUCCAUGUACACUUAUCCAAAUUCGACCGAUCAGUAGCAUGUGAGUAUAUACUGUGUGUGUAAGUAUGCAUAUACUGUAUUAGUGAAGUGAAAUAAAGAAGCUGGGUUAACUAAAAUGAUGCAUCUAUUACCACACCCCUCGUAUAAGAUGACAACGAAACUAACAAUAAAAUAAUAGAUUUUUAUCUGUUUUAAUAUCAAGUUAAAGAGGUGAAGUACAGAUGGCGCUAUUCUAUAACGCCAACUCUAACCGCGAAAGUGAUGAAUUUUUAAAUUUAAAAUCUUACGUGGUUCAAAGUUCACUACCCUCCCUGAUCAUGGUAAGAAGUUAUAAAAGUAAAGCUAAAGUAAAACUUACUUAUGCAUGACCCUGUGCCUAGGAUUAUACAAUGCCUGUGCGUUUUAAAUCCAUGUUGGUUAAAAGUUUUGAGAUAUUUUAUGAUCAGCCCGCAUACAAGUAUGUCGUAUGAUUUACUAUUAAACCAACAGUCACAAAUUUAAUAUAUAAUAUAUUGUGCUAUUUAAAUCGUGAUCCAUUUUAAGAAAUAUCAGCUGGCUAGGAAUAUCUUAAAAUGGCAACCCACAAGCAAUAAUUAUUGCCAACAAACUUCUAAUUUAGUAGUCACUUUUUUCGCAAUAUUUUUGUAUGUGUUUUGUUAUCAUAAUAAAGGGUGUUGUCGAAUUCUGAUUUUCAAUGAUGUCACAGAAUCUGAUUGGAUUUUUGUCUAUGCAAAACCAAUAUUCGAAUCAGCUCUCUACUAUUGUGAACUUUGAAAGCAAUUAUAAUAAAAUUUAAAAUGAGUCCCGCGAUUUUAGCUUUUGUUUUAUUAGAAGAAGAAAGUAACGAAAAAAUUACAAGGAAAAUAUUAAGAGACCAAAGUUAUCCACCUGAUGGUGCUGGGGAAUCGUAAGAGAAAUUUAGCUUGCAUUUACUUAACAGCUUUUAUAUAUCGUAACGCUACUUUACAGAUUUAUAUCACAUUAUCGACUGAAUAAACACGCAUUUCUUAUAGUGUUAAAUAUCAUAGAACCACAUUUGCAGCCUUCGAAGAUUCUGCCUAUAAUACAAAUGACAGCAAAAUUGCGAUUUUUAACAGAGGGUGCUUACCAACGGGGAGUAUGACGUGAUUUUUGCAUCAGUUUGGCAAGAAGUACGGUGUCGCAGAUUGUAAAGACAAUUGAUAUGCCUCUUAGAGAAGUACAUUUGCGGUCAGUGAAUAAAACUCUCUAUAGAUGAAAACGAAAGGUUGAUUUAAAGAAAUCACUUCUUUGGAAAGUACAAAAUACCCGGAAUUGUCGGUUGCAUAGAUGGAACACAUAUAAAUAUAAUAAAGACAACUGAUGAUGAGCAUUUGUAUUUUAACCGAAAGGGAUAUAUUAGUAUAAAUGCGAUGAUAUUUGGGUCUCCCAAUGAAGGAGGCCGCGGAAAUUAUAAUUUUUUGGAGUUUACUCCUUAAGAAUCGUUUUUCAUAUAAGGCGCCUGGUAUGAAAAAAUAUGAGGAGUGAAAUCUACUGAUGAAUGACCUCAGAUGAACUCGGUAACGUUUUCGCGCGCAUCAUUUCUCCCCACUUUUCAGUUGAGUAUACUUUUAUGUAUACUUUGUGUAGAGUUAUUGUUGUUAUGACUAUAGCGCCAUCUAUACUACUAUCAUAGUCUAUACACUACACGGUCAGCUGAUUGGUACGAGCGCCGCCAUAUUAGAUUGGCUGCAGUGAUAUGGAUAGCCGCAUUAAAUUUGUUGUUCUUCUAUUUUAAAGUGUUAUUAUUUUAUUGAUAUUAAUUUAUUAUUAUUUUUUUUUUUCUUUCAGCAACUGCAGCCAACCCACGAACUUGAUUUCUGCCACAAUUUUAAUUCCGAUUUUAUUUAAUUUUUACAUAUUUUAGUUUUGAGUAUUAAACAUGUGGUCGCGGAAGGUGUGCAACAAAGUACUUAAAUUUCCAAAUAAGCAUGAAAAAGUGAAUACAGUUAUAAAAUAUAUUUCUGUGCUGAGUAAUUAAACAAAAGCGAGUAAUAUGGCAGCAUUGAAAUCAAAUUUGCAUGGCGCCGCAAAAUAGAAUAAUAUUUCAAUAUUCAUAACACAUUUGUACGAAACAGUUACAUGCCAAUAUAUAAUUAUUUUUUCAAGUAAACUUCUAAAUAGUGAAGGCGUUGAGUAAUGAUCGCUAAAGACCGAUCGUUGACUGGAGCAAUGCAGUGAUGACAAAUGCUUGAACGAAAUUUCAUUGAAUAUUAUAAGCUGAUUUAAAAACCGUGCUAUAUAAGCAGCCUUGCGCAGGCUCAGUUCAAACCCACGAUCGAGAGCUGGAAGCAGAAGCUGUGUUAAUUUUGUAAACAAACUAAUUAUUUUAUGCAGUUAAGCGCCAGUACUCACCUCUUCCACCACACUUUCAAACAUUUUGCCUAUGGCCAACUCCAUUCUGAUGAACUGCGCGUUAAUAAAAUAAAUUAUUUUUAACAACCAAUUAAGCGAAUGCAAAGGAAAUAGAAAAAUAACAAAAACAAAAAGAAAUGGCAGUCAAAUGAAUUCAGUGGCCAAAAAUUUACAACGACAGUGUUGCUUUGCGGCUACCACAUAUUUAUUUAGUUUGUCACAUGAUUUAUGCUUAAUGACUUUAUAUUGUUGUGAUUUAGCUGUACGCGUAUGCGCAGGCACAGCGAGCCAAGGCACAUACAAUAUAUGACAGAUACGAGUCUAUAUAUUAUGCCUGUGUGUGUUUGUAAUAUGUACACUGCUUUUGGCAAUGGCUGACAGUUGCUUGUCGAUAUUCAGUUCAUUGUAUAAGCCUACAAGUAGCCAAAGAAUCAGCUGUUUUCCUAUGUGUGUGAAACAGCCGUGAUCACCUGAUCGAAUAUGCCUUUUUUGACACAGAGUUUUAAAUAAAAGGUUGUAGUGUAACAAUUUGUUUAUGAACAUGUAUUUGUAAUGAAAAUAAUAAUGAAAACUUUCAAGAAAA